rnacentral:tRNA from 1 species
UGAAAUAAAGUGUUAAGCAUAUUAAAUUUUGAAUUUAAUGGUAAAAUUUCAA